UCCCUGGUGGCUCAGUGGCUAAGACUCUGCCCUCUCAAUGCAGGAGGCCUGGGUUAGAACCCUGGUCAGGGAA
rnacentral:tRNA from 1 species